rnacentral:lncRNA from 1 species
CGAGGUGUAAGUGGUGUUUCGUUACCAUCAUCUGCCCCUGGCAUGGUUCAAAGACAAAGACAACAAAAAGGCAAGUGAAGAAAUAAAAGCCCUACAACUACUAGGAUGUAGCUACAGCAAGUCGCUCACACUCAACCUGUAACACAAGUUCUUACCAAUUCUUACCUUGCUUGACAGGAGGGGUCGUCUGCCAACAAGUGUACAACAAUGGACGAAGUGUAUCGGUGCUGCAGCACAAGAUCUGUCAAGCUGUAGAGUAUGUGGAGCUAUAGGUGGGCUGAAACAAGGAACGAACUAGCACCACGUUAGUUAUAAAAGCAAGCUGAAUAAGCGUUCGAUGAUGGUACUGUGCUGGUCCUAGGCUAGACCGUGCUAGAGACGCGAGCCUGGACACAAAGGAAAACCACAGCACACCCCCGAAAACAAGGUGGGACAAACCUAAAAUCAAUAUGAAAAACAGCCCCCUUUUUUUUCUUUUGAAUCUUUUCUCUUUUCUUUUUUUUUCUUUUUUUUGGGCAACCUCAAAAACUGAUUAUAUGAACAAAAGAAUACAAAAGAGCAAUUCGCUCCACACACUUUUUUUUUCGCUCCACACACUCUCUCUCUCUCUCUAGAGUAAGGCCGAACAAGUAUGGAGUUAUCUUUCUUUUUGAACUCAGAUUGGAACUCUACUCGAUCUGGACCAAGACCACAGUUCAAUUCAGACUUCACAACAGAUUCGACAGAGAGAAGAUAUGGUAAUACUCGGCUGUGUAUAGAUGGUGACAAUAACUCGAAACUCUAAAGGACUAGACACUAAGACCAGCAACUCGACACAAACCGAAGCAACGCAAAUUCAACAAGCCCUAACUAAAACGGUACUAGCCAAUACACAAAGGUUUAAUAGGAUUAUGGAAAAACUAAUCUACUAUAUUUUUUUUGGCUUUUUUGGACUAUAGGAAAUUAAUUAAAAACAGCAAAGGAUUAGAAGUCUCUCACCGAAGAACCUUGCUCUGAUUACCAACUGAUGCGAACCCGCUAGGGUUUUUGGCCUGAUAUUUCGAUGAGAGGCGCUGGAUAACUCGAUUAGUGGAUGGAGAUGACGUUCAUGGCCCGACUACAGCCCUCAAGACCGCGCCUUAGCAACCGAUACACCACGUCCAAUAGCCGUCACGAUCUUGUGGAGCGCGACAACCAGCCCCUAGGGCUCCCGUCCUUCAAGCAAUCGAAGAACUAGCAAGAACGAGGAAACAAGCACUGAAUUUGCAAGAUGAAUUGAAGGUUUUAAACUGAAUCUUAAUCAACAAUGGGGUUCCGAAGACAAGGAGACGGGCGGCUGAUCCUGCACGCGCGCCUACAAGCAAGUAGCGAAGGCUAAACUUGAUCUAAACAAAACCUAGUUGUUCAUGGCGGCUCUAGAUGUAAAUAAAUAGAGGGGAGGACGACCAAAGGGGUGCUAGAGUCGUCCUCCAACCCUAGGACGCGUCCCUAAUGGACUCAACUUGAUACAUGGGC